UGGAGAUACAGGUUAGUGGUAGAGCACUUGCCUAGCAUGCUCAAGGCACCAGGUUCGAUCCCUGGUGCUACAA
rnacentral:tRNA from 1 species